GAUGAACGCUGGCGGCGUGCCUAAUACAUGCAAGUCGAGCGAACAGAUUAGGAGCUUGCUCCUCUGACGUUAGCGGCGGACGGGUGAGUAACACGUGGAUAACCUACCUAUAAGACUGGGAUAACUUCGGGAAACCGGAGCUAAUACCGGAUAAUAUAUUGAACCGCAUGGUUCAAUAGUGAAAGACGGUUUUGCUGUCACUUAUAGAUGGAUCCGCGCCGCAGUAGCUAGUUGGUAAGGUAACGGCUUACCAAGGCAACGAUGCGUAGCCGACCUGAGAGGGUGAUCGGCCACCCUGGAGCUGAGCCACGGUCAAGACUCCUACGGGAGGCAGCAGUAGGGAAUCUUCCGCAAUGGGCGAAAGCAUGACGGAGCAACGCCGCGUGAGUGAUGAAGGUCUUCGGAUCGUAAAACUCUGUUAUUAGGGAAGAACAAAUGUGUAAGUAACUAUGCACGUCUUGACGGUACCUACUCAGAAAGCCACGGCUAACUACGUG
rnacentral:rRNA from 1 species